UUGAAUGCAGUUGAGGUAGGCGGAAUGUGUAAUGUAGCGGUGAAAUGCUUAGAUAUUACACAGAACACCGAUUGCGAAGGCAGCUUACUAAACUGUGAUUGACGCUGAGGCACGAAAGCGUGGGGAGCAAACAGGAUUAGAUACCCUGGUAGUCCACGCCGUAAACUAUGAUCACUCGCUGUUGGCGAUAAAUUGUCAGCGGCUGAGCGAAAGCAUUAAGUGAUCCACCUGGGGAGUACGAUCGCAAGGUUGAAACUCAAAGGAAUUGACGGGGGCCCGCACAAGCGGAGGAACAUGUGGUUUAAUUCGAUGAUACGCGAGGAACCUUACCUGGGCUUAAAUGUAGAGCGACAGACUGGGAAACUGGUCCUUCUUCGGACGAUCUACAAGGUGCUGCACGGUUGUCGUCAGCUCGUGCCGUAAGGUGUCGGGUUAAGUCCCAUAACGAGCGCAACCCUUAUCGUUAGUUGCCAGCGGGUAAUGCCGGGGACUCUAACGAAACUGCCGGUGUAAACCGUGAGGAAGGUGGGGAUGACGUCAAAUCAGCACGGCCCUUAUGUCCAGGGCGACACACGUGUUACAACGGCCGGUACAGAGGGCAGCUACCUGGUGACAGGAUGCUAAUCUCCAAAACCGGUCUCAGUUCGGAUCGAAGUCUGCAACUCGACUUCGUGAAGCUGGAUUCGCUAGUAAUCGCGCAUCAGCCAUGGCGCGGUGAAUACGUUCCCGGGCCUUGUACACACCGCCCGUCUAGCCAUGGAAGCUGGGGGUACCUGAAGUCCGUAACCGCAAGGAGCGGCCUAGGGUAAAACUAGUAACUGGGGUUUAGUCGUAACAAGGUA
rnacentral:rRNA from 1 species